GAUGAACGCUGGCGGCGUGCCUAACACAUGCAAGUCGAGCGAAUAAUAAUUGAACAAAUCUUCGGAGGAGUGAUGUUAUGGAAAGCGGCGGACGGGUGAGUAACGCGUAGGCAACCUGCCCCAUACAGAGGGAUAGCCUCGGGAAACCGGGAUUAAAACCUCAUAACGCGCCUGCUUCACAUGAAGCGGUCGCCAAAGAUUUAUCGGUAUGGGAUGGGCCUGCGUCUGAUUAGCUAGUUGGUGAGGUAACGGCUCACCAAGGCAACGAUCAGUAGCCGACCUGAGAGGGUAAACGGCCACAUUGGAACUGAGACACGGUCCAAACUCCUACGGGAGGCAGCAGUGGGGAAUAUUGCACAAUGGGCGAAAGCCUGAUGCAGCAACGCCGCGUGAGCGAUGAAGGCCUUCGGGUCGUAAAGCUCUGUCCUUGGGGAAGAAAAAAAUGACGGUACCCUUGGAGGAAGCCCCGGCUAACUACGUGCCAGCAGCCGCGGUAAUAC
rnacentral:rRNA from 1 species